rnacentral:snRNA from 1 species
GUGCUUGCUUCAGCAGCACAUAUACUAAAAUUGGAACGAUACAGAGCAGAUUAGCAUGGCCCCUGCACAAGGAUGACACGCAAAUUCGUGAAGCAUUCCACACUUUG